rnacentral:rRNA from 1 species
UACGUAGGGGGCUAGCGUUGUCCGGAUUUAUUGGGCGUAAAGAGCGUGUAGGCGGCCAGGUAGGUCUGCUGUGAAAACUCGAGGCUCAACCUCGAGACGUCGGCGGAAACCAUCUGGCUAGAGUCCGGAAGAGGAGAGUGGAAUUCCUGGUGUAGCGGUGAAAUGCGCAGAUAUCGGGAGGAACACCGGUGGCGAAGGCGGUUCUCUGGGCCUUACCUGACGCUGAGGAGCGAAGGCUAGGGGAGCAAACAGG